ACACUUCAAUAGCAUAUACACUAAAAUUGGAAUGAUACAGAAAUUAGCAUGGCAAAGAUGACAUGCAAACUCAUGAAACAUUCCACAUUUAA
rnacentral:snRNA from 1 species